GUCUGAUUUGUAGACAGUACUUUGGUAAAAAAUGUACCCUCUGUGUCUAUGAUGAAUUAGCGCAUACCCAAACUAGAGAAUAGCAUGAACCUGAGAUGCUGAAUAUAGUUGCAAAGACCCCUUCCUCCAAUUUGNNNNNAUUACCAAGGAGACAACAACAAACUAACUACUCAAAACUCACAUAUUUAUCUUUCAGAUACUGUCAAAUUUGUUUGGUUCAAGGAUUCUGAUUCACUGUUCACCUCGCUCUCUAACUGGCCAUCUAAAAUUUGCAAAACAUUCUCUGGUGGGCAUUUAUCAGCAGGAUUCUGUGUAUCUGUUUGGCAGAAACAUUCAGGCCAAGAAUUUGUAUAAAAUGAUUCAGGUGAAAUUCGCUUGUGAGGACCUCCAAAGUUUGUUUUGAGCAUGACACGCCUAACAGCUUCUUCAAAACCAGCUGUACGACCAUUCUCUCGAUCAAUGAAAACAGGGGCAAGACCAUCCUUUUCGUUUAGGUUAAAAGAAUACCCGAAAAGCCAUAAUAAAGGCGGUGACCUAGGAGAUUGUUGGCAAAAUUGCUUGGUCCAUCAUAUGUAGGCAUAAAAAUGUCAGCAAGGAGACAGACCAUAUAAUCCACAGCAGAUCCUAACAAUCCACGAGUGUUCGUGGCUAGCUCCUCUGUUGCGUCUACGGAACUGUGAUUCUCAAGUCGAGGGAACAGGGCUUUAAAAGGUUUCAUAAAUCUUUCUCCACCAAACAGUUCACCAGCUGCUAGAUAUAUCCGGGAGGAAUUGUCAAACCCCAUUGCACGUAAGAUAAGACCAACCUCUUCCGGAGUCAAGGGGCAUUUUCCAAUUGCCCUCCUUUCACUAUAAACAAGUCUUUUCUCAGCAAAGUUUUCCUUGCGAUACUUCUUCAAUAUUUUUUGCUCUGCAGGUUUAAAUAUGUCAAAACACCCAGCAAAUGCCAGCAUGUCCAUCUCGAAACGAAGGUGUAUCGCCAUGAAGUGACCUUUUGCACGUAAUUUAUCAACUAUUGACUCACUUAGCUUCAUAAUAUGUGGCUUGAAUCUUAGGGCAUGGUAGUUAACCCUGCACCUCAGUCGCUGGUACUCAGGGUUGUCGAUUUCUUCAGCUAAACGAUGUGAAAAAGGAGUCAAAUAAAUAGCUCCAUGUUGCUUCAUCUUCUCCAGAGCAACAGUUGUAUACCAAUCAAUAGGAGCAUCUCUAGGGGGCCGCAGCUGAAAAGCCUUUAUCUUCUUGGUUUUCCCAUUUUUAUGAAUUUCUGGUAUCCUUUCCACAAUACGUACAUCAAAUCUCAGUGACUGGAUAAAAUACUCAACAUCAUAAAUGCCAUGGAAGCCACUUUCAUCAUGCCAGAAGGAGUUAGCAUCCAACUCAGGCAGCACAAGGGUAGCAUUCAUGAUUCUAGCAGCAAGAACCGCAUUACAAAUCGCACUUCGUUGCUGAUUCAAACCACCAUUACAAC
rnacentral:misc_RNA from 1 species